rnacentral:misc_RNA from 1 species
CUGAGACGGGCUAGAUGCCCCAGAUAAACAGCAGCACUGUCGUUCGACGACGCCCGAGGUGGCGAGAAACGGGCGGCGGCGGUGGGGGAGGAGGCGCCGGGGGAACAGCGGAUCCUCUUGGAUACCGGCGGGGAGUCAAGGAGAAGAUCGUCGAAGAUGGAAUUGGACCUCUUACCACACACUAUGGCAGACAUGUUGGUGCUGCCGAAGCCUCCGCCUCAGCGGCGCUCGGAGCCGAUUGAUUUCCCGAUGAGUUCCGCCGAUCUUCCUCCCGCUAUCACCUUCGAAUCCAGCGGCGG